GCAAACUUGGUCAUUUAGAGGAAGUAAAAGUCGUAACAAGGUUUCCGUAGGUGAACCUGCGGAAGGAUCAUUCAUAAUAAAAGUGAAUUUUAUGGCACUUUUAAAACAAUCCAUAUCCACCUUGUGUGCAAUGUUUUUUUUUUAUAAUAAACUCAUUUAACAUAUUUUGUCUGAAAUAUUUUUUAUGAAUUACUUAAUUCUAAAAUAUAACUUUCAACAACGGAUCUCUUGGCUCUCGCAUCGAUGAAGAACGCAGC
rnacentral:misc_RNA from 1 species